AUUGAACGCUGGCGGCAGGCCUAACACAUGCAAGUCGAACGGUAACAGGAAGAAGCUUGCUUCUUUGCUGACGAGUGGCGGACGGGUGAGUAAUGUCUGGGAAACUGCCUGAUGGAGGGGGAUAACUACUGGAAACGGUAGCUAAUACCGCAUAACGUCGCAAGACCAAAGAGGGGGACCUUCGGGCCUCUUGCCAUCGGAUGUGCCCAGAUGGGAUUAGCUUGUUGGUGGGGUAACGGCUCACCAAGGCGACGAUCCCUAGCUGGUCUGAGAGGAUGACCAGCCACACUGGAACUGAGACACGGUCCAGACUCCUACGGGAGGCAGCAGUGGGGAAUAUUGCACAAUGGGCGCAAGCCUGAUGCAGCCAUGCCGCGUGUAUGAAGAAGGCCUUCGGGUUGUAAAGUACUUUCAGCGGGGAGGAAGGGAGUAAAGUUAGUACCUUUGCUCAUUGACGUUACCCGCAGAAGAAGCACCGGCUAACUCCGUG
rnacentral:rRNA from 1 species